rnacentral:lncRNA from 1 species
GAGAAAUACGGAUUAGGAGUCAAUGACAGUGACAUUGAUAGUGACGAACCAGCCCCACCCUUGCCAACCCUUCUCCAAGCCACCGAGACCCUGGGUGCGUUCACAAGAUUUGUGGAUUCGAGAGAUGGAGGGCGGCUGUUACAAGCACUUGUCAUGCAUCAAGAUGUCCGGGAUAGAUAUACUCCGUAAGGCUUUCCGCCGAUCGAGAGGGAUCGACCCUGACAUGCCGUCUGUGAAUCUGGACUUUUGACACCUGAGUGUUUUGGGAGAGUGACAUGCCGCCCGUGAAUCUGGACUUUUGACAUCUGAGUGUUUUGGGAGAGUGACAUGCCGCCCGUGAAUCUGGACUUUUGACAUCUGAGUGUUUUGGGAGAGUGACAUGCCUCCCGUGAAUCGGGACUUUUGACAUCCGAGUAUUCAGGGAGAGUGACAUGCCGCCCGUGAAUCUGGACUCUUGACAUCUGAGUGUUUAGGGAGAGUGACAUGCCCCAUCCAUUAAGGCUGUCCCAACCGAUCAACAUAGACCAUACCGGCAGGCCGCCUACUGUGUAAACUGCACAGGAUAAAGUAAAUAUGCGUUGGAUGUAGUUGGUCUGUAUAUUCCAUUUAAUGUAUAUAUUAUAUCAUAUGAACUGUUGUGUGUUUCUUUAGAAAGGCCUUUGUAAUGGUGUUACAUUUGGAGCGUUGAUGUGAGUGUAUGUGAAUGGUGAGGUAUGAGGUACGUACUUGGCUAAGUAGGG